UCCUACGGGAGCCAGCAGGAGGGAAUUUUGGGCAAUGGGGGCAACCGUGAUCCAGCCAUGCCCAGUGUGUGAAGAAGCCCUUCGGGUUCUUUAUCACUUUUGGACGGAAUGAAAUCGGGGAUGUUAAUACCUCGCGUGGAUGACGGUACCGUAAGAAGAAGCACCGGCUAACUACGUGCCAGCAGCCGCGGUAAUACGUAGGGUGCGAGCGUUAAUCGGAAUUAUUGGGUGUAAAGUGUGGGCAGGUGGGCUCGCAAGUCGAGUGUGAAAGCCCCGGGCUUAACUUGGGAAUUGGGCUGCAAAGUACGUGAUGGGAGUGUGGCAGAGGAAGGUGGAAUUACACGUGGAGCGGUGAAAGAAGUAGUUAUGUGUAGGAACGCCCACGGAGAAGGCAGCCUUCUGGGUCGACAGUGACGGUCAUGCAGGAAAGAAAGGGGAGCAAACAAACAGGAUUAGAUACCUAGUUAGUCCACACUGUAGAUGAGGAUUAGUCGUGGGGGGGGUUAAUCCCCCACUGGAGCCACCAUGGAAUCUGUAUCUAUCUUCAACUCUCUUUUGA
rnacentral:rRNA from 1 species